AUCNGGCUUACCAUGCAAGUCGAGGGGCAGCAUGGUCUUAGCUUGCUAAGGCCGAUGGCGACCGGCGCACGGGUGAGUAACACGUAUCCAACCUGCCGUCUACUCUUGGACAGCCUUCUGAAAGGAAGAUUAAUACAAGAUGGCAUCAUGAGUCCGCAUGUUCACAUGAUUAAAGGUAUUCCGGUAGACGAUGGGGAUGCGUUCCAUUAGAUAGUAGGCGGGGUAACGGCCCACCUAGUCUUCGAUGGAUAGGGGUUCUGAGAGGAAGGUCCCCCACAUUGGAACUGAGACACGGUCCAAACUCCUACGGGAGGCAGCAGUGAGGAAUAUUGGUCAAUGGGCGAGAGCCUGAACCAGCCAAGUAGCGUGAAGGAUGACUGCCCUAUGGGUUGUAAACUUCUUUUAUAAAGGAAUAAAGUCGGGUAUGNAUACCCGUUUGCAUGUNCUUUAUGAAUAAGGAUCGGCUAACUCCGUGCCAGCAGCCGCGGUAAUACGGAGGAUCCGAGCGUUAUCCGGAUUUAUUGGGUUUAAAGGGGAGCGUAGAUGGAUGUUUAAGUCAGUUGUGAAAGUUUGCGGCUCAACCGUAAAAUUGCAGUUGAUACUGGAUAUCUUGAGUGCAGUUGAGGCAGGCGGAAUUCGUGGUGUAGCGGUGAAAUGCUUAGAUAUCACGAAGAACUCCGAUUGCGAAGGCAGCCUGCUAAGCUGCAACUGACAUUGAGGCUCGAAAGUGUGGGUAUCAAACAGGAUUAGAUACCCUGGUAGUCCACACGGUAAACGAUGAAUACUCGCUGUUUGCGAUAUACGGCAAGCGGCCAAGCGAAAGCGUUAAGUAUUCCACCUGGGGAGUACGCCGGCAACGGUGAAACUCAAAGGAAUUGACGGGGGCCCGCACAAGCGGAGGAACAUGUGGUUUAAUUCGAUGAUACGCGAGGAACCUUACCCGGGCUUAAAUUGCAGAUGAAUUACGGUGAAAGCCGUAAGCCGCAAGGCAUCUGUGAAGGUGCUGCAUGGUUGUCGUCAGCUCGUGCCGUGAGGUGUCGGCUUAAGUGCCAUAACGAGCGCAACCCUUGUUGUCAGUUACUAACAGGUUCCGCUGAGGACUCUGACAAGACUGCCAUCGUAAGAUGUGAGGAAGGUGGGGAUGACGUCAAAUCAGCACGGCCCUUACGUCCGGGGCUACACACGUGUUACAAUGGGGGGUACAGAGGGCCGCUACCACGCGAGUGGAUGCCAAUCCCAAAAACCUCUCUCAGUUCGGACUGGAGUCUGCAACCCGACUCCACGAAGCUGGAUUCGCUAGUAAUCGCGCAUCAGCCACGGCGCGGUGAAUACGUUCCCGGGCCUUGUACACACCGCCCGUCAAGCCAUGGGAGCCGGGGGUACCUGAAGUGCGAACCGCGAGAGCGCCCUAGNAAUUNC
rnacentral:rRNA from 1 species